rnacentral:tRNA from 1 species
AAUUAAUGAGCUUGAACAAGCUUUUGUUUUGAAAACUUAUGAAAGAAUUAUAAUUCUAUUAAUUU